AACGCAUCUUGCGCUCCUUGGUAUUCCGAGGAGCAUGCCUGUUUGAGUGUCAUUUAACUUCUCAACCACAUCAGAUGUAUUUUUGAUGUGGCUUGGAUUUGGGGGUCGUUUGCAGGCUUUUCUGUGAAAAGAAAGGUCGGCUCCCCUGAAAAGUAUUAGUGGUAUCUGAGCUACUGCUAUAGGUGUGAUAAUUAUCUAUGCCUUUGGUAUGCUGCAUGAAACAGAUUGCGCUGCUUAUUAACUGAACUUGAUAAAUUUGACCUCAAAUCAGGUAGGACUACCCGCUGAACUUAA
rnacentral:misc_RNA from 1 species